GGAUAUGUUACCUAUAGACGGAGCCAAAAGUGCAUAUAUCCAUUAUCAACCUCCAAAGAAAGAAAUUGCCCACAAAUACUGCCAUUAAAAUCCAUUUUUCUCUUCCAACCAGAUUUGGAAAUAAUAAUAAAAUUGAUAAUAGUAGUGAUGCAAGAAUGCUAAAUCUCUAUAUAAAUUGUUCUUUAAAUGACAUAAACCAUUUACAACAGUUAAGCGAAGAAGUCUAGACCAAAUAUAAAAUUUAGAACAUAAAUAUUUAUUUAUGAGACAAAAACAUUCAUCCACUCUCCCUUGUCCAUUUUAU
rnacentral:misc_RNA from 1 species